rnacentral:tRNA from 1 species
GCCCGGGUGGCGCAACUGGCAGACGCGACCGCCUUAAACGCGGACAAGUGUGGGUUCGACUCCCACCCCGGGCA